rnacentral:rRNA from 1 species
UACGGAGGGAGCUAGCGUUAUUCGGAAUUACUGGGCGUAAAGCGCACGUAGGCGGCUUUGUAAGUUAGAGGUGAAAGCCCGGGGCUCAACUCCGGAACUGCCUUUAAGACUGCAUCGCUUGAAUCCAGGAGAGGUCAGUGGAAUUCCGAGUGUAGAGGUGAAAUUCGUAGAUAUUCGGAAGAACACCAGUGGCGAAGGCGGCUGACUGGACAUGUAUUGACGCUGAGGUGCGAAAGCGUGGGGAGCAAACAGG